GAAACCAACGUCAGUGUAGACGGAUUUUGGAUGUUAUUCUUUUGUCCACGUGAAUCAUGCUGUACAAAGAAAUUACAAACUUGUUCUUGGCCACUGUCCAUGCUACUGCUUUGUUUCUACUUGUCGAAUGUGCUGCUCCCAUGAUGCCCCAAAAAUUGAUUGUGGAAAUCACAGUUUUGAAUAACAUGCGGGGUAUGGUAGUCACAUGAAAAUCUAGAACAGCUCCUGAAACCAUCAGGAAAAUGUUAGUAAAGUUUGCAUAAACACCACGAUUAUGAAAUAUGGGAAUAGCUCUUGAAUACCUGAUACCAUCAAACCAAUCUUUCUG
rnacentral:lncRNA from 1 species